rnacentral:misc_RNA from 1 species
GAGUGGUUGUAGGUGUGUUUUUUCGUUGGGCCCCCCGCUUUUUUGCGGCCGACCAACGAGCAACCACCAUUUCUGCGCUAACAGCCCGUGGCUUGCUAUGUGCUUUGUGUGGGCCUUCGAAGGAUACUAAAACGGAACUGUGUAUUUAUUACUCUUUUGCUGUCCCUUGCCGUGUCUUGUGGUGAUGGGGGGGACGACCAAUGGAAGUACCUUCUUCGACGUUUCGUUGACGAUGUUAUUCUUCGUUGUCGAAUUUUGGUCGUUGACUGGUUUCGUAGUUUUUUGGAUGUGGUGCAUUGAUAAGAAUUCAGGGACGGGUGCCCUGUUCGAAGACAGAUCGUGUCUCGGUUUGACCGCACUAUGGAAAAAGACAUCGCGUGUUUAUGUCGUCAUCCCUUUCUAUCAAGGGUGUGUUCGGCAUAUCAUCGGUGCCUUUAAGGUCGUGCUACCUGGUUGAUCCUGCCAGUAGUCAUAUGCUUGUCUCAAAGA